rnacentral:lncRNA from 1 species
UUACUGGCUUAGACUGUCUCUUCCACUCCAUUCUUUAAUUGGUCUCCACGUCUUGCACUGUUUAACUCUGACCAGCUUAGACAUUCACCAUCCCACAGUUCCCUCACACAGGAGAUGCAGCAUCUUAUUUUCUGUGUCCUCUAUAACAGUCAAUAAACUUGACCUGUACGUAACAGGCAUUCCAUGGCUGACACAGAGGACACAGAGGACUCAGAACCACUGUCCCCAGCAGCUCUAAGAGCUACCCAUGUAGCAACCGAUCCUAUCAUGUACAGUAGGAAAUCAAUACGGACAGCUCUGAGAGUGCUAUGCGGCUCCACAGUGACUCGCUAGGCUUCUUCCUAAAAGUGACAUCGCUGAGACUUGCCUCUCUUACCUGAUGACACUGUCGAUACAGUUCAUCUGCUGAUAGGACGAGCUGGGCUGCUCUUGCUGCAGAUUGCCACCGGAGCCAGUAUCCGUGGUGCUUUUAUUUUUCAGUGUCUGAGAGGAAGAAAAGUCCUUCUGCUCAUCUGAAAGGAGAUGGAAGGAGAUACAAUUCAAAUGUUCGGCAGCUAGUGAGAAAAUAUUCAGCAAAUCGUAGCAGGCUCAUAACCUAUGUUUAUACAGUAUCAUGUAGUAUAUUUAAUAUCAUUAAACAUGAGCAUAGAUCUAAAUGACUGACACAGAAAUAUCAGUAAGGUGAAUAAGGCACAAAAGCAAGCCACACACAAGGACUACACUGGUAUUUCUAAAACUGAGUGAAGCAUGUAUCUCAGGCGAGGAUUACUAAGUCAACUCUGGGACGAGAAGCUGGUGGGGGACGCCCAGUGUCAGGGUAUUAUCACAACUGGCUAACACACCUAAGUGCCACCUGUCCCUCCCCUUGUGCACUGCCUGGCUACUGAACACCUGUAGAGUUGGUCAGUGGGCAUGGAGACCGGAAUAACUGGUAUCGCACAUAUCUCAUGUGCUGCAGGGUGCACCACACAGCACUUCCUGGGCUGAGCCUCCGUGGUGACUGAUGCUGUGUUCCUGCUGUCCCACGUGCUGGCCACCACCAAGGGAUGAUAAAAUGAUACUGCGCCGAUCUGAGUUUGAGCUUAUCAAGUGUGCCUUGUGGAACAGGCGUGGAAAGAAGGGAAAAGCCUCCAGGCCUGAGCACGAGAGAACCUGAAUCUGCUGUCAAGAUGACAGAGCCCAGGAAAGGAGACAGAAAACCUGGCAAAGGCGGAAUGCCCUGCAAAACAGUGCUAUACCCAGCAAGAAUGGCAGGGUUCCGGAAGGCGUGCGUGAUUACGUCACAUGACUGACAGACCUGUGGCCUCAGCUGUGUGUGUUCUUAUCGACAGACACGUCUAGCUGGCCUGGAGAGCCUAUCUUAACAGGACUUCUUGAAUAGCCUCAUUUCAACUCUUCCCCAUACCCCUCCUAAGAGCGUCUACUAACUACACAAUGAUGCGCUAAACCACAAAAUUCACAGUGGAGGCAUGCUUUUCAUUGAAAUGAAAAUUGACUUUUCUUGCAUUUUUACUGCGUUAUCACUAACCGUAGCUUUUAUUUCAGGAUCCAGCCCAGGAUCUCAGUGGAUCUGGUGGUCCUAUCUUAACGCUGCUGUAACCUGAUCCCUGUCUUGACUUAAGUCUUCCAGUCAUUUGUCAGUACAGACACAGGUCAUGAAAUUUGUUGGGUUAUAAACCAACACUAUCCUGCCGAGUUCUGUUACUCAGAUUGUCCUAGCCUGAGCUAUUUGUAGCUUUUCCAAGCUACCUACUCCCUGAGCCCUUAUGCUGUCUGUCUGUCUGUCUCUUGAAUAUAUUUACCCUCUGGCCCUGGUUCCUUGUGUUAAAAAACAUAUAUCCAGCAACCAAGAUCUUGGAGUUAUGAGUGUGUUGUCUCUACUUGUAAGUUUUCCCAGUGGUCAGAGCUGAUUAUUCAGGUCUGCAUGUUAGCCCUUGCUCAUCUGUCAUCCACCUAUCCAGCUGAAUGCCUCAGUUCUUCCACAUGCUUCUACCUCAAUGCAGGACAAUCUAUUCCAGACAUCCCCCUUUGAUUACUUAAAACUUCUAUAGUAGUGGGAAACCUUGUUAGCUUACUCUCUAUCUAUAGUGUCUGCAUCCGUUUGCUCGACUGCAGUAUACACACAAAGUGUCUUCAGAGUUCUGCUGCUGAUAAACCCACCAGCCUGGGUUCGGGUUCUGUGCACGUUAGUGUUCUGUACCUGACAUCUAGCUGAAAUACUUUUUCCUUCUCUAAAGCUACUUAAGCUCACCCCCUUGAGCAUGUUUUCGCCAUUCCUGCUUAGCAGACUCAUCUGCAUGUGGCCUUGGGUUCUCUCUACCUUCUGGGACGGGGGUUGAUGUUUAUGGCUCUUGGCGAAUGCACGGAUUCUCCCAGCUACCCCUUCGUAGGCAGCUCCUCUUCCCUUUCAGUCUCAGUAUGUAUCCCAUCACUGGUGGCUGGGUUUGCUUCCUGUGCUUUUAGUGUGUGAAGUUUUUAGUUUACUGGAGAACAGAAUUGAGCCCCGAGCUUUGUACAUCCUAGGCAAGGCUAUACAGUUACCCAUAGUCGCUUGUCAACUGGAAACAGUUAAGCAGAUGUUAACCAUUCCUGUCAAACUGCACUACUGUAAACUAUGUGAUGCGACCUCGCUGUUCUGCUCCAGCCCACAUGGGAUGUACGGCAUCUUUGUCCAGGGUAUCCACAGUCUCUCCCCUCCCAGCACCAUCCUGAGCUGAGUGAUUCAGCGUCACCAAAAGAGCCAAUUCUUCCUGAGCUCUUUAAGGUCAACAGUAGAUUAACUGUGUCACAGUGCCUUUUCAUCUACCGUCCUUCAUCCACUUUACAAGGUACUCAGGGGUCACCUCCAAUUAGUCCAUUCUUUCAGAGUCUAAGGCUGUAUGUUCCUCAAAGCUCACCCAGCAUAGGGCAAUUCAGCUGCCAUGUUUUACUUGUAUGGCACCAAUGAAGAGUGCUAUCUGUAAUCAGUUAUCUUUCAUAUCAAUUAAAAAUAAAACUUUUUUUUUAUACAUUGCCCAGUAAUUUUCACUCCUUAGUGUAGAUAGGUUUUGUAUAUCAUAUUUCUCCCUGCUAAGAAAUUCCUGGGGCUGGAGAGAUAGAUAGCUCAGUGGUUAAGAGCGAGUACUGCCCUUUUGGAGGAACAAAGUUAAAUUCCCAGCACCCAUGAUGGGUGGCUACAACUACCACCUGUAAUUCCUGCUCCAGGGGAUUCAACACCUCCAUGGGCAUUCACACUUGUGUGUGAUAAGUGUGUAUACACACUCAUGUAUGCACACACACAUGCGUGCAUUAAAAAUAAAUCGUUAAACAGACAAAAGAAAUUCCUUGGCAUUUCUGGUAGAAAGUGUGCUGUCAAAUUCUCAGUUGAUUGGGAGAUCUGAUUGGGAAAGAUUUCCCAUGGGUACGGAACUCUGUGUUGAC